rnacentral:rRNA from 1 species
ACAGCAGUCGCCGCGGUAAUACGUAGGUGGCAAGCGUUGUCCGGAAUUAUUGGGCGUAAAGGGCUCGCAGGCGGUUUCUUAAGUCUGAUGUGAAAGCCCCCGGCUCAACCGGGGAGGGUCAUUGGAAACUGGGAAACUUGAGUGCAGAAGAGGAGAGUGGAAUUCCACGUGUAGCGGUGAAAUGCGUAGAGAUGUGGAGGAACACCAGUGGCGGAGGCGACUCUCUGGUCUGUAACUGACGCUGAGGAGCGAAAGCGUGGGGAGCGAACAGGAUUAGAUACCCCUGUAGUCCCUGUCUCUUAUAC